GUGGGCUCGAUCCCAUGACCUGGGAUCAUGACCUGAGCUGAGAUCACGAGUCAGACACUCAACCGACUGAGUCACCCAGGCGCCCCAGGGUGAGUCUUUAAAAACAUGGGCAGAUGACAUACCUCCUCUGUUCAUCGCCUUCCAGUGGCUCUAACAUACUAUUUAUUUUGCUUCUUUGUUUAUUGUCUGACUUCCCCUACUCUAGUGAAAUAGAUGCUCCAUGAGGGCAGGGCUUUUUGUCGGGUUUUUUUUCACUACUGUGUAUCCAGCACCUACAACAGUGUCUGGCAGAUAGGAGUCUUCAGUCAGAUGUUUGUUGAAUAAAGGAAUGAGAUUCCAUUAGGCAUCUGGAUUCAUGAGUCUGGCACUCAGGAGCGGGUUCUGGGCUGAAGAUGAGGAUUGGAGGCCACUGACAGAUAGAGGGCGCACGAAGCCGCCUCCGGAGUGCCUGUGAUCUCCCACUUGCAGGGGGGAGAGUAGCAGAAGAGGAGCCCCAGGGAACAUAAAAGAAAAGCAGAGAAAGUGGUGCCCUGGAAGGAGACUGGGAGGCAGCAGUCCGUGUGGCAUCAGACGACCAAGGCGGGCGAGCCCGGCAGGGAGGAAGUGGUCCGUGGUCAAGUACGACUGAGAAGAAGCAGUCCAAGGACAGCAGCUUCACCAGACGGUAGAGGCACCCACCCAGUUUCAGUGUGGAGGGGUGGGGCAGGGGGGUUGAGCAGCUGGUACGGACAGGUCUCCAGGAAAUCAGGCUGAGAAGGAGAAACAGGCCGAUUCCUGGAGGAGGGCCAGGCGUCAAUGUAAUGAUUGGACAGAACAGGGCCGGCUUCAGGGCGGAGGAGAAGGAGCGAGCAAAGAGAAAUUUGUGGACACAGCUGAGAGACUGCGGUGCCUGACGUGGCGGGGAGAACAGGUAAAGAAAGUGGAGGAGGGGUGGCCUGGAGAUGAGCGGCAGCUCAUGACAGCAAGGAUGCGGUUCUUGCUUACACAUCUGUAAUUAGAUCGGAGUUCGGCCGGUCUAGGUUGGGUACAGCUGGCCUCGGUUCCGGGCUCUUCAAAGUAUCUCAUCUCUCUGGGCCCAGCAGAGUGUGUUCCUCUCGUGGCAAUGGCAGAAGCCAACAGAGAAAGCCCAACCCACAAGCACGUUUCUGGCCUUUGCUGACAUCCCAUUUGCUAACAUCCCACAGGUGAAAGCAAGUCACUUGGCCAAGCUCAAAGUCAAGAGGGGAGGCGGGGACGCUCUGCCCUCAUGAGGCCACGGCAAGGCUGUGAAUGGGUAUUUCUGCUAUGGGGGUGGGGAGGAGGUGAAGAAUGGAGGCAAUAAUGCAGCCUACCAGAGGACGCUAGCGUCACCAUUUUGAUUAUCCUCACCUCAUCCAAGCCGUAUGUGGUUCGAUUUGCUGUAGCUCCCAACCAGCCUCCCCACCUCCGAGUGAUCCUGCAAGACUCCAGACUCAGCCUCCUCACAUGACAUUGUCAUGAUGUCCCUCCUCUUUCCAAGCCCUGCCGGUAAGAUGAAGCCCAAAGUCCUCAGCCAGGGAUCCAGGGGCUCCAAACCCAACGUGUGCAGGGUGUUCCCAUCUCUCUCCAGGAUGGACUCUCCACUCUGGAGUCUAAUUCUACUCCUUCUCCUCAACCCUCCCUUUCUCAACCGCUUCAUCACUUACCUAACGUACCCCCCCCCACCCACCCCCGCCCCGUGAAGCUUCCAUGUCUUCUUCCCAAACCCGUUUCUGAACUCCUACAAUUAAACUUAAAUACAGUGACUUGAAUUGUGAAUAUUUUGUUUACAUAUUUACUGAACAAACAGUGUUUUCUUUCAGCACCCACUUGUCACACAACUAACGUGGGGUUGACCCAUUAUGGCUGGGCGCUUAGUGGAAACCUGGUAGUCUUGCCCCCGAGGAGUUUCCAGCUGAGGACUAGAAACAGGGUGGCUCUGAGACACAGGGAACGUGCCCUGUCAUGGGCAUGAGGAGACUGGGAUUCUGGUCCCGACUCCUUCAUCAUAGCAUGAGAGCUGUGAAUUCUGUUCAACACUAUCCUUGGGGCUAAUGCGCACAUCAGAUACAGUGCAGGUAAAAGCGUCUUUAAAAAGAGGUAAUCCCUUGUUUUCAAGAUGCGGACACUACUGUUGGGAGAGGUGAAACCAAUGAUUCUGUGGCAGAGCAAGGACAGGGGUCCGUGAUCCCUCUGUCCAAUGCUCUUUCCACCUACUCCUCUUCGAAGGAUGCCUCUACCAGCACCCCAGGUCCUCAGAAACUUUUUGAUGCCAUCGAUAAGGAGGUGACUGACUCAUUCCUCACGCGUCAGUAAAGGUGAUCGCACACUUUUCUGGAAGCCUGAAGCCAUGCCUCCAAACUCGAUUCUUCCGGAUUGUAGGAAACACACCCCGUGGCCGAUUCGUCCUCCACUCCUCUGGCUUUGCAUCCAUCAGUCUUUCUUCACAAGGCUUCACUUUUCAGAACCAGGUUCCCGGAGGUUAUAGAUUCGCAACAAAGAAAGCAGAACUGAGCAUUCUCGACCCUGAACGAGCAACCUGGUACCCUAGUAGAAAGCUCCAGGAAAGCUUCAUUAGAAUUGAAUAUAUGCAUUCAGCCAUUGGCACUGGCCUAACAAGUCUUUGCUAGUGUUCAUUGCUUGCCACUUACCGUGGCAAAUAUUGGAUGAUAGAAAACUUGCCUCCACUCUCUGCACUUCAGUUUAUUCAUCUGUGAAGUGGACGUAACAGUAGCAUCUAUUGCAAGAGGUUGUUAAAAAGCAAACAAGACAGAACAGAGAACCGAGAAACAGACUCACACAGAUACACCCAAUGGAAUUUUGACAAGGCUGCGAAAGAAACUGAACAGAGGAAAAUGGCUUUUUCAAGUUUCCGGUGCUGAAGCAAUUGGACAUCCUUUGGGUGUGGGGCCCCGGGCGGUGGGGGAAGACCUCCCUUCGUCUUGCAUCAUAUACAAAAAUGCACUCAAAACAGAUUGUAGCCUUAAAUGGAAAAUGGAAAGCUAUAAGACCUUUAGAAACAAACAUAAGGAAAAAAAGCUUGAGGAUCUAGGGCUAGCAAGUUCUUACAGCUGACACCAAAAGCAUGACCCAUAGAAGGAAAAAUAGAUAAAUUGGACUUUCUCAACAUUGAAAAGUUUGCUCUGCAAAAGCAAAACAAAAAAGCCCGUGAACACAAUGAAAAGCAAAGCUACAGACUGGGAAAAAAUAUCUCAAGGUGUGUACUAAUAAAGACUAGUAAUCUACAAUAUAUAAAACUCAAAACUCAAGAGUAAAAAAAAAAAUCCAAUGGAAAAUGAGCAAAAGCUGUGAAGAGACAUUUCAUCCCAAAGUAGGUAGAAACUGUAAGAAGCACAUGAAAAUAUGUUCAACCUCAUUAGGGAAAUGUAAAAUCAAACUACAAUGAAACAUGGGUACACACCUAGCAGAAAGACUAACAUAAAAAAUAGUGACAAACCCAUUGUGGGUGAGGACGUGGAAAAACUAGAUCGCUCGUGCAUUCCUCGUGGGAAUGUAAAACAGUCUGGCAAUUGCUUAAGAAAUUAAACGUGCAACAAUCAUACAACCCAAUAAUUACUCCUGGGCAUUUAUCCCAGAGAAAUGAAGACUUACAUUCACACACAAACCUGUACAGGAAUGUUUACAGAAGCUUUAUUUCUAACAGGCAAAAGGAAACCACCCAGAUAUCCUUUACCAGUUUCUCGGUCCCAACUUGGACGUCACCGGACUGAACGUGGAUGCUGUACCCAGCUCUGUGACUUUAGAUGAAUUACUGACCUCAUCGCGGUCUCAAUUACCUCGUCUUAUGAAACAAAGGACGAGGAGGGGACAAAUCAGAGUGACAGAGCUUUAGACCAGUGCUGUCCACUGUGGUAGCCACCAGCCACCUGUAGCUGUUGAGCACUCGAGACGAGGCAGGACUGAACCGGACUGAAUCAGGAUGGUCUGUAUGUGUAUACACACUGGAUUUUGAAGACACCAUAUGAAAAAAGAACAUAAAAUAUCUCAAUAAUUUUAUUAUUUAGUGAUUACAUGUUGAAAUGAUCACUUCUUCAUAUACCAGGGCAAAUAAAUCGUAUUCUACUUUUUUUAAGUUUUAUUUAUUUAUUUUGGGGAAGGAGGGACACAGAGAGAAGGAGGGAGAGAGAAGCCCAAGCAGGCUCUGCCCUGGCAGCGUGGAGCCCAACUUGGGGCUCGAGCUCACCAGCCGUGAGAUCGUGACCUGAGCCAAAAACAAGAGUUGGACGCUUAACCAACUGAGUCACCCAGGGACCUCAAUAAAACGUAUUAUUGAUUUAACCUGUUUCUUUUUACUAUUUAUUUAUUUAUUUAUUUAUUUUUAAGAUUUUAUUUUUAAGUAAUCUCUACACCCAACUCGGGGUAACCCAAGACAUCAAGAGUCACGUUCUCCCGACUAAGCCCACCAGGCACCUCUCUUUUUACUUUGUAAUGUGGCUAGUAAGAAAUGUAAAGUAAUUAGGGAUGCCUGGGUGGCUCAGUCGGUUGGGCAUCCAACUUCCACUCAGGUCAUGAUC